rnacentral:lncRNA from 1 species
CGUAUUGUUGCCAUGAAGAAGGUCUUCUUGGAACCAUCUGCUCACGAAGAGGGUGAUGCCUCUCUUGCUUUCAUUGAAGCAGAGGAAGAGCAAAGAAAAAGAUGUAGCCUGCAAAACAGAAAAAAGCAACAAAUUCACAUAACACUUACACUUGGUGAUUGAUAGAGAAAGCGAGAAAGAUUGAGGCUCCUUCUCACAGAGCGAAU